rnacentral:lncRNA from 1 species
GGAAGUAACGAGUAAAAUGAUGGUUAUCAGCCUUCCUUUCAUUUGUGUUCAUUUUGUUUUUGAAAGAUUCUCCCCAACGCCCGAAAGCUUGAAGGAAUGAGUAACUCCUCUCUUCUCAGGCCCAGUCCCAAGGCACAAGGCCACUUGUACCAGCAGCGUGAGUCAGCAAGAUAGCAGAAGCAGGAAGAGAGCCGGCCAGAAGACACCUACCCUGGCCGGAAGACACGUACCCCUGAAGAUCGAGAAACAGGCCAUCUGGGUACCACAUAGCAGUUACAUCAGACUGGGACAAUUCCUGUUUACGGAAGACUAUAAAACCCUGCCCCCUACUCAUUUGGUGCUGACGCCAUUUUAGGCCUUAGCCUGCCUGCACCCAGGCGCUCAUUAAAACAGCAGGUUGCUCCACACUGCCUCGUGUUGUCUGUUGGCACACUCUCAAGAGUUUGAACGGAUACAAGAAUCUUUCAUCUGGUGCCGAAACCCGGGAGGGGCUCCGGUCUUCGUCCCCCGUGGACCUACCCCUCCGCCCCAGAAAGCAGGCCACAGCAGCCGGACAAAGGAAGCUCCUCAGCCUCCAGUUGCUUCUCUGUGCAUGCACAUCAGUCACUGAUCUCACCUACUGGCCCAGUCCCAAGGCGCAAGGCCACUUGUGCCAGCAGUGUGAGUCAGCAAGAUAGCAGAAGCAGGAAGAGAGCCGGCCAGAAGACACCUACUCUGACUGGGAGACACGUACCCCUGAAGAUUGAGAAAGAGGCCAUCCAGGGAGUGAAGAUGGAAUGAGAAGAACAGAGAAACAAUGACAGAGUCCUUACAAACACCAUGAUACAAGAAGGCAAUGGGGAUAUGUUAUCCUAAAGGAAUCCUAAAAGAAGUGAUCAAAAAGGUGAACAGAAAACCAAGUGGGAGUACUGUCACUGAGGAUGAGUUUCCAGAGAGAAUUAAUGCUGAAGAAGCUAUUGCAGACACUGCUGAGUAUGAAGAACUAAUUGGAGAAGGAAGCCGUUGUAUAGCAGAUGCAGAGCAGCAGCAAAAAUGGUAAUGAAAAUAGAAGAUAAAUUAGAAAAUUUGGAAAAACCCAAACAGAUCAGCCAUAUUGAAGGGAAAAAGAAAAACAAAACAAAGUGGGAGGGCAGAAAUGUAGAACGGUAUACACUCUUUUAACCCCAAGGAUGAAUGUAGCCAAGAACACAGUGGGGACUUAGGAGUCUCAGCACAGAGCAUUCUCUACUCCCUACUGCUCAGGCAAAGAACUCCUUCAUCAUGCAGAACCAAAACUGGUGUAGAGUCUUAAAUGACCUGGGUAUCUCUACGCAGAAGAAAGCGCUUUCCAUGUAAAAGGAUUAACUUGAACCUGGGUGCUCAAGGGACACCCUAGGCUGCUUAUCCCACUGAUUCUGAUCUGACUGUGUUAAGUAAUAAAUCAUGUGGUUACAUAUUCACAUUAUCUUGUGUAGUUUUCUCUCACAUUGCUACUUAAAGAGAAACCCCAGACACAAUAAUGAGGGAGCUCAGUAUAAGGGUAUGAAGAGAUCCAGGCAAGCUAUAACCUGGAGAGCUCCUUGCCCUUCAGAAGGUGAGACCACUCAGAAUGAGGGAGAAAACGUGGCCCAGCCCACUUUAUGAGGAAGCUACAAACAGAAUUCUUAGAAGACAGCAGCCAAGGGAGUAGCAGGGAUGGGGACAGGGAGGGCUGAGACUAGAAACUCACAGAGGAACAAACAAUUGAGUAAACUGGAAACAAGUAACCACAAAAGCACUAGAAAAUAAAAUGAAAGCUUUGCAUGAAUAAUUGACAAAUUUGAUCUUCCUUGUGAAUGCAGAAGAAGGAACUAGAAACAAAAGAUAAUGAGGCCGCUUUCUCUGCUUUGAUCUGAAGGACAACUUUCUAAUUAUCUGAUC